AACGAACGCUGGCGGCAGGCCUAACACAUGCAAGUCGAGCGCCCGGAUUUAUCCGGGAGCGGCGCACGGGUGAGUAACGCGUGGGAACAUGCCCUGAAGUACGGAACAACCUGGGGAAACCUUGGCUAAUACCGUAUACGCCCUGAGGGGGAAAGAUUUAUCGCUUUGGAUUGGCCCGCGUUGGAUUAGCUGGUUGGUGUGGUAACGGCGCACCAAGGCGACGAUCCAUAACUGGUCUGAGAGGAUGACCAGUCACACUGGGACUGAGACACGGCCCAGACUCCUACGGGAGGCAGCAGUGGGGAAUAUUGGACAAUGGGCGAAAGCCUGAUCCAGCCAUGCCGCGUGAGUGAAGAAGGCCUUCGGGUUGUAAAGCUCUUUCAGCGGGGACGAUGAUGACGGUACCCGCAGAAGAAGCCCCGGCUAACUUCGUGCCAGCAGCCGCAGUAA
rnacentral:rRNA from 1 species